rnacentral:tRNA from 1 species
CAAAAAAUAAUUUAAUAAAAAUAUUAAUUUUGGAAAUUAAAAAUAUAAAUUUUUAUUUUUUUGA